ACAACUUUCAGCAACGGAUCUGCUUGGCUCUCGCAUCGAUGAAGAACGCACCGAAUGCGAUAAGUAAUGUGAAUUGCAGAAUUCAGUGAAUCAUCGAAUCUUUGAACGCACCUUGCGCUCCUUGGUAUUCCGAGGAGCACACCUGUUUGAGUGUCAUGAA
rnacentral:rRNA from 1 species